rnacentral:lncRNA from 1 species
UUUUUUAGCGCAAUGCUCCAUAAUUAUCGAAAUGCUACGCAAUUUAUUAUUCAAUAUGCUAUGCUUAUCUACAUGAUGAAUGCAUAAAAGGUAUCCCCCUCAAGGGACUCUUCUGGGGAGCUCGAGGCGCUCUGCUGAGGAACUCGCCAACACUCCAACCUUCCACCCUGUUGGGGAACAGCGCCGCUGCUGGGAAAUAGGCCACCCUUACCAGGAAUAACCUCC